rnacentral:lncRNA from 1 species
GAGAAAGCAAGUCAUCUGUCUGUUUCUUAUAGUGGUGCCUGUGAUCUCUGUAACUCAUGCUAUUUUCCUGGUGUGUCAUGUCACCUACAGGCCCUUAUAUACAUAUUGCAUACUUUGGACACUCUGAAUGCCUCUCACUCAUUCAGUUUCAUUAACUGCUUAUUCUGUUCAGGGUUACAGCAGACCAGAGACAACACUGGAAUUGCUGGGUUAGGAGGGGUACACCCUGGACGGGAUGCUGGUCCAUCGCAGGGUAGCCGCACAAACACGCAUUCGCACACUAAAGGCAAUUUAGAGUCACCAGUUCACCUCAGAUACAUGUAUUUGGACUGUGGGAGGAAACUAGACCCAGAGGACAACUACCAAAACAUGGGGAGAACAUGCAAACCCCACACACACUGAGUUGGAUUUGAACCUAUGCCCAAAUAGCCUAGGAGCUGUGAAGUGGCAGCACUAUCCCAUUUUGCCACCUGCUCUUAAAGGCUGAUGAAUGUUAAUGCUGUUUCACUGGAAAAGUACAUUUUCCAUUUGCAGUCCUCCACUUCAAACUGAAAUUUUGUCCAAAUUUAGUUAAAGGUGGAAAAAUAAAAUGUACCUUUUUACUUUUUUCUUCUAGCAAAAUUAAUGAGCCACCUCUUUAAGAGUUAAAUAAAUUUAAUACAACGUGAUUGAAUCAAUUUUUUGUACAGAUUAUGGACAGAAGUUCCCUUCGGUUUUAUUGGGUAAAAGUCCUGCAGCAGUGCUGAGGGGGUCAGUGCCAGUCUCUCUCUCAGUCCAUUUGCCUGUCUGUCUGACAGAGGAGUACAGAGCCAUGACCAGCCAUCUCUCGGUCCUGCGCCGGCUGCUGCGCAACCAACAGAGACUCUUGGAGGAGGAGCUGCUGCAAACAGAAGAGGAGGAAGGUGAUGUGUCUCAUCCCAUCAGAUGCAGGAAAUGCUUCCAUAUGGACAUGUUUCACAUGGGUCGUCCCGUUGCUGUCAGAAAAACCCCCCGCAAAGCUCCAGAGACGACUAACCUGCAGAAUGUCCUUGAUUUUAACAAGCUCAAGGACAAAGACAGUGAAUCGCGGGAGGAAGUACACUGUCUGGACCCGGUCUCCUCCACCAAUGACCAGAACCCCGAUAUCCAGCAAAAGGCCCUGAUCCGCAAGGAGAACCGCAGGGUCGACAGGCUGAGGAAAAUGCUCUCUGCUGAUGAGUUCCUGUACGACGAUGGGAAGAUGAAGACUUCCACUAGGGAUUUAGUGAAAGACCCCCUGCUGACAUCAGCGAGUGCUUUCUUUGACUCUAACAUGGAUGUGACCUUAGACCCAUCUGACCCUGAAGAAGGCACAUCCAAACCCUUGGCCAGGCAGCAGCAAAAGUUGGGAUACUGGGAGCCAGCAGGGCAGUCAGACUUUGACUCGCUGCACUGUCAGGCCAGUCUUCACAAGGAGCACAAGAAGCAACGGAUGAGGAGGCUGCAGGAGCUGAGAGACCAUGGCUGGCUAGAUGAAUUGGAUAUGUCUACUGAAAAUCGUGAUGGACCGAACACAGACAUGCGUACAUACUUGGACCGAGUUGCCAGGAAUCCAUGCCUAAGACCAGGAUCUUCAGACCACCUAAGACAAAUCACAACAUGUCACACGGACAGGCAACCCAGCAGAAACUGGAAACCUGACUGGUAAGGCCUGUCCUCUUACCACAGCUGAACUUCUCAUCCUAAUAGCAGAGAUGGGGUGUUUCGGGGAGCCCCACAUCAUUUUCAGUGGAUCGUCAGUCUCCAGUGGUGGUGUGAAGAUUUUUUUUGUGUCCUCCAAGCAAUUUGAUUAAAAAAAAAAAACAUACCUCUUGCUUUGUUUGAAAACAUUUUUUUCAAGAUUCAUUUAAUUUCAACAAAUAAGCAUAUGAAAUUUUAACUGGAUUGGUGCUAUGAGGUAGCCUACACUUUUCAGCAAUGAGAAUGAGCCAGUCCAAACAUAGAUGGCAGACUGUACAGUAUGUAUGUAAUACUACACCCUAGGACCACACACACAAGAGACUGAUCCCCCGUUGUUGUCCUACUGCUGAACUCAAACUAGGAUUACACUCAGGG